CCUCGUGCCCGCUCUGCUUUCCCAGUGUUCAGACUACCUGUUCAGGGCGUAGAGAUUGUACAGUAGUCUGCACAUUGGUUAGGCUGAGUGAGGGCUGCAC
rnacentral:pre_miRNA from 8 species